rnacentral:rRNA from 1 species
UACAGAGGUGGCAAGCGUUGUUCGGAUUUAUUGGGCGUAAAGGGUCCGUAGGCGGUUUGGAAAGUCGGGUGUGAAAGCCCACAGCUCAACUGUGGAACUGCACUCGAAACUUCCAGACUAGAGUAUGAGAGGGGUUAAGGGAAUUCCCGGUGUAAGGGUGAAAUCUGCAGAGAUCGGGAGGAACACCAGUCGCGAAGGCGCUUAACUGGCUCAUUACUGACGCUCAGGGACGAAAGCUAGGGUAGCAAACGGG